UUUUUCAAUUAAGGAUUCAAUAGAAGAAGUGUUUGUUAAGCCAGCUGAAGAACUGCACAGACUUGAUUAUUACAAAUCUACAACAGUAACUUCUGGAUUCUACUCAACCUCUACGUACCUUUUACAGAUGCCUGUCUUAUAAAACACUGAUAGUUGAGUAGAGUGAGGCACUACCAACAGUAGGGCUGCUAUUGAUCAGGACAGAACAGGAAAUUUGAACACAGUGAAAUAUCAUGAGACAAACGAAUGAAGAUUUGACUUCAACUUCUUCUUUAUUACCACUAGUGAUUCUACCCAAACUUUGUGC